rnacentral:tRNA from 1 species
GCGGACGUGGCGGAAUUGGCAGACGCGCUAGAUUCAGGUUCUAGUGAACGCGAGUUCAUGUGGGUUCAAGUCCCGUCGUCCGCACCA